ACAUGCCAAUUAGAUAAGAUCAUUUAAGAAGUACACUUGCAAGCAAGGGUUUCCAAAUUAAACAGGAUGGGAGACCCGUUUUCUGGCAUGCAGAGGCUUUCAAAAGGUUUUAAAAUUCCAUAAUAGUUUCACUAAAAGAUUUUAUCACAGGAAGUUAAUGAAAAAUUAAACACAGAAAAGGUAACUAUCUAAAACAAGACUUUUAAGACUGACAUGACUCCUACUGCUUCCUCUGUCUUCCUUUGGGUACUCACUCUAGUCUGAAUUUUUUCUUCCACUCUGAGAAGGCUAAUAAAACCAUAAACAAAAUUCUGCCAAGUUAAUGGUCUUACAGGUUCCCUGUUACCUACCUUCAGUAUCUACCUUCAAAGAAGGGCCCUCAUGUGAACCCCUCUCAGAGUUGAUGAAGCUGAGGGAUUUUUCUCAUAAGCUGCUACAUUAUUCUUUAAACAAUCAAGGGUAAACUGGCAGAUACAGAUACAGAUCUUGCCAAAGUGAUCCUGGAAAAACUGGCAGAAGCCAGCAAAAGGUGAAAAUUCUUACUGGAACCAGCUCUUCCAAAUCUGUCUGCCCAAUUAAACAGAAAAUAAAAUCACACUGCCCCUUCCCUUCUAAAUCCAGACCCAUUGGUUAUUGAUCCCUUCUCUCCCAGGGACAGCUAUUGCCUCCUUGCUGGUCUUGUUUUGUGUUACUGGUCUUGGUUUUCUGCCUGCCUGGAACAUACAGGUUGUUGGUUCUUCCUUUUGGCCAUCACUGUGAGUGGUUCUAGAUUUGGGAAAGUUGAUACCCCCUGCACUCUCUUUGGUGACCCAUCUUAUACCCGAGGGAGGCUAUUCAGUAUUGCCAAAAAUACUUAGAAUUAUGUACCGAGAGGAGAAAAAAAGCAAAUUGAGGGCACUAUAGUUGGAUAGAUGGAGCAACCUAUGACUUCAUUUAAAUUACAAUCCAAUUCUUUGAAGAACUGAAAGCAACUGGUCCUGAUAUUACAAAUCUUUACAAAACCAGAAAUGUAGCUCUAUAGGCAAUCAUGAGUUCACCUAUGCCUCUAGCAAUCCCUAAACUUGCCCUGGUUAUCUCAAACAGCUUGUACAUUAUUGGCCUUAGGAAACCAAAGUUCCUCUAAAAGGAGCUUGUAUUUUCCCCUGUACCUUUUAAAUCUAAAUGUUCAAUGUUCCACCUGGUCUUCUCCAGUAGCUCUUAAGUCCAUCUCGUUAAAACGAAAAUUUAAGGGAGAUAAUUCUUAUCAAGAAAAAAAUAAAACAGAGAAAGAUUUUUUGGAAUUUUAAUUACCUAGGACAAGCACAAAACUCAAUAUCCAAAGAUGGAUAUUAAAAAAAAAAAAAAGCUUUACCCCCUAACCAGGUAACCUUAACCUAUUCAUCAUCUACCAGAAAAACAAACUCACAUCCAACUUUCAUUAACUAGUAAAUCCUGUACUGAUUUCAUAGCAGAAAUUUCAAAACCAGCUCUAAAUCCUUGAGCCUGUCUGUUCACAUGUGUCUACAAGUGUGUCAUGUGUUACUUUCUACCUCCGCAUGGUAUUGCUAACAUGGAUUUCUAAAAAAGCUCUACGUAGUUGGUUUGAAGGCAAGUGCCUGUAAGGAUGGGCAGUCUGAAACUCAGAAAGAAACCCAAAUGUUUAAGUUCACAGGUUUUGGGAAAAUAUUUGAUAUAAAAACUAGAUUAUGGUUGAUGGCUUAAUUAAAACAAACAUGUUUUUAGUUAUCAACAUUAAAUAUAAAACUUACUCUACCUGAGUUUACUAGCUAUUUAAGUUCACGUUCUCUCUUAUAAGAUGUAGCCACACGAAACAUAAUAGCUUAGGAUAAUGGCUGACUUUAAUGUCUAAUGUUUAAUAAAGUUCUUGUAGGUAAUCUAAACAUAAUUCAGGAUAUUUCAAAAAUAAAGACAAAAGUUUACAAAUGAGCUUUUCAGCAAUAUUUUCCCUAAGUUUUUUAUUUUUUAUUUGGAUAGUCUAAAACCUUGAAGUUUUACUGAGUUAGGUUAAAUAAGUCAUUAAAUAUGUAGGUCAUUUCCAAAUAAGAGAAAAUUCUAAAACAUUAAUUAGUAAACAUAGGCUUAUCUACUUUUGGCUUCCUAUUACAGAGAAACAAAAAGAUAUUUAAACAAGCUAAUGCUACAUUAAAAAAUUUAAAAAGGUACAUGCUUAUAGAAAUUCUAAAAUGUAUUCAUAAAUAUGCAAAUUAAAAAAAUCUAAGCUCACUUCUUAGUUUUCACUAGAAAUUAAGGUUUCUUAAGGGUUAAGAAUUCUAAUAUACAUAAUUAAAGCCACUAAAAAUAAUUAGGGAAACAUCUGUAUAUGCCAGGAAAAGUAGGAUGUGUUUUUAGUAACAAAAGGUAUGAGAAAUGGAGAUGUGUUUUUUGUUGAGGAAAAAGAAGUUUUAUCCUAAAAUGAAGCUGGUUGUUUAAAGGGAAAAAAAAAUUUUAAAAAGGACAAAAAGUAUAGAAAGAAGUGGUGGGGCCCUUGGGUAGCUCAGUCAGUUAAGCGUCCAACUUGGGCUUAGGUCAUGAUCUCACAGUUCAUGGGUUCAAGCCCCGCGUUGGGCUCUGUGCUGACGGCUCAGAGCCUAUAGCCUGCUUCGGAUUCUGUGUCUCCUCCUCUCUCUGCCCCUCCCCUGCUCCUGCUACGUCUCUCUCAAAAAUAAAUAAAAAACAUUAAAAAAAAACAAGUUUGUAAAAGGUUUGCAGAAAGAAUCUUUGAAAAGGAAUUUUAAUGUGUGGUCAAGCUGGCUAAGAUUAAAACUUAUUUU